rnacentral:rRNA from 1 species
CCUACGGGAGGCUGCAGUGAGGAAUAUUGGUCAAUGGACGAGAGUCUGAACCAGCCAAGUAGCGUGAAGGAUGACUGCCCUAUGGGUUGUAAACUUCUUUUAUAUGGGAAUAAAACGUUCCACGUGUGGGAUUUUGUAUGUACCAUAUGAAUAAGGAUCGGCUAACUCCGUGCCAGCAGCCGCGGUAAUACGGAGGAUCCGAGCGUUAUCCGGAUUUAUUGGGUUUAAAGGGAGCGUAGGUGGAUUGUUAAGUCAGUUGUGAAAGUUUGCGGCUCAACCGUAAAAUUGCAGUUGAAACCGGCAGUCUUGAGUACAGUAGAGGUGGGCGGAAUUCGUGGUGUAGCGGUGAAAUGCUUAGAUAUCACGAAGAACUCCGAUUGCGAAGGCAGUUCACUGGACUGCAACUGACACUGAGGCUCGAAAGUGUGGGUAUCAAACAGGAUUAGAUACCCGGGUAGUC